UAAGAAGAGUCUACCAUUUCCUUCAAUUGGCCUAUCCACAUCAGCACCUCACUCUCACAAAAUUCCACAUCAUUGUCUCUUUAUUGUGUUCUGCGGCAGUUCUAAGGGUGGAAGUUUCAACCUCUCAUCUUGCAGUUACGGAUUCUUUACUUUCCGUGGCCAUCCACAUUCCCACUUCCUAUGUCAAUGGAGGUUACAAAUUUAAAUCACACUUUCAACAAUUCUUCCACUCUCCAUAUUCCAUUGAAUUGCACGAUUCAUUUUUCCCAUUUCAAUUUCUUCCUCUAUUUCUUUGUUUCAGUCGUCUGUUUCCAUAAUCACAGGAUUCGACCCUUCCAAACUCCAAACCCUAGACCCCAUUCCCAAAACCCAAAUCAAAAAUCAUUGGCGAGAAUAUCGACCUUCCCAUCACCGAUUCACACUCUUCCCAUUCCCUGACUUUCGAACCGGAGCUUCAAUCUUCGAUCAGCCUGAUUCCGAUAAGUCAUUUUACGGUCUCAACCUCCAUUCUGGGAAUUCCGAGAACAAGAAACAGCUAGGUGACUGUGAUGGUCUGAGGCUUGAGUUUCAAUUGAAGAUAACAACACGUUUUCGGCGGCGAUUGAGGUUGAAUUCCGAAUUGUUGAUAUUUUUUAUCGAUUCAAAUGACAAUGGGAUCUAUGAUGAUGUCUUGCUCAUGGAAGGUUCCCAUUUCUUCUGCCUUCCAAUCAGUAUCAUACUUACUAUCUGAAAGUUCUUUAAACUGCUGAAGAGAUUUGUGGAGGUUCUGGUGGAAUUGAUGUAUUUGCGGUUCAGGCAGCAAAGUUGGGCAGAUCAAGAGUGAUGAAGAGAGGCUAUCUUAUUGCGAGAGUAUGGGAGCCCAUGUUUGCAUCAAUCACAGAAUUGAGGACUUUGCUGCAAGAGUACAGAACGAAACUGGCGGUCGAGGUGUUGAUGUGAUUCUUGAUUGUAUUGGAACACCUUUCUUUCAAAAGAAUAUUGAUAGCUUAAACUUUAAUGGAAUGCUUUUCAUGAUUGGCACUCUAGGGACAACUUUGUAUACUCAGAUGGAUCUAAGGGAUUUAGUUACUAAGCGUCUCAAUGUCCACGAUAUUACAAUCUUCAUUGUUAGUUACGAAGCGUAUAUUGACAAAAUUAUAUGUUUUAGCGUGUUGCUUUGUCUACUGCUGCUAAUAUGUGCAAGAAGCUUCCUUCAGAUGCAACUGAUUUUGUAAUGGAGGUUGUUCUUCUUCUGACGAACCUCCUCCAGUACCAUGAUUCUAAGUGAAAGUGUUGGAUUGGGGUGAUGGUGGUGUCGCUGCUGCUAAUAUGUGCAAGAAGCUUCCUUCAGAUGCAACUGAUUUUGUAAUGGAGGUUGUUCUUCUUCUGACGAACCUCCUCUAGUACCAUGAUUCUAAGUGAAGGUGUUGGAUUGGGGUGAUGGUGGUGUCGCCGCUGCUGCUGAAACUUCCACUUUACGCUCAUCUUUUAGGCAGGAAGUUGUUGUCUGGCACAAACUUGACCAUCCAAAGGUUACAAAGUGCAGGAAGUAUUGGAAGAAGUUUUAAAGGUGAGUUUCAGCAUUGGCAGCUAUUCCCUCUCGCAAGUGAAGACAAACCAGUAAAAUAAAAUGAAAGUAAUGUUGCAUUCAGAUGUAGAGGCUCGCAUUGGAGCACACCUUAUAUUUUCUGUACUUCUUUGACCAAAUUCCUUCCAUACACAUGAAGUUUCUUCGCUGCGGUCCAGAUAUCUAGAUUAACGCAGCAAAAAGAAUUCCCAUACUGCAGCUGCAUCCGCUUCAAUUACACCGUUACUCAAAAAACUCCGCAGGGGCAAAGAUAGUACAAAUGCAGAUCACGGGAAUGUUGUUCAUGAUGACAAGGAAAGAGAUACUGUGGUCAAAGAGUGGAAACAAUGUUGUGGCAUAUGAAGAACAUCACCAUACAACCAUUCACCAAGAUCUUAUGCCUGUGUAUAUCUAAACUGAGAACUAGCAUAUGAGACAAAAACAUAACCUAGAGCUUGCUGCUGAGAACGAUUAUUGCAGACAUGACAUGAACUUUCUUUCUAUUUUCAUGAUUCUUCUUGGUCUGUCUCAUCUUGUAUGCUCAACAUCAGUCUCAGUUACAAGAACUGAAAACCUUAUGCAAGAAGUUCAAGUUCAUCUAAUCUAUCAUAUAAGAAGUUCAAGUUUUAUUUUGAUUAAAAAGAUGUAGAGGAAGAAGGAAGAAAAAUAAAGAGAAGAAAGAAGAAGAAGAGAGAGGACGCGGAAGAGAGAAGAAUGGAAGAGGAAGAGAGAGGUUAAGGAAUUGUAGAUUAAUGACGGAGGAACCGUUUUUGAAUUUGGAGAUGGUUAUAUCUUUUGAACAGGCUUCUGGAAAGUUACUUUAUCUACUAAUUCAGCCAUUCAGAUAAACAAGACAGUUGAUGGAGAUAGUAUCCUACAUAAUGAUGGUAAAGGUAAGAAAGUUCAAACAAUACUUGGUGAAGACACACGAUGGGAAAUUAAAUGGGAGGAACUUCGUAUCGGGGAGCGUAUUUGUAUUGUUCGAGAUUAUGGUUUAACUCAAAGGGAAAGUUGUCACAUGAUCAGGCCUUGCAUAAAUACUGCAUAUCUUUGAAAGUGUUGAGUUUACGUAAAAAUUCGUAUAUCAAACAAUAUGUGCGUGGUUUGCAUUACAAGUAUGUGGCUGCAUACUUCUGAUCUAAUAUUUCUUCAAGUGAUUAUGAAUCCUCAUUGUGAAGGGGUAUAAAGAUGCGUACCUUGAGUUUGGACCACGGUGUUCCUCUCUACCUGGCUGUUAAUGUAAAAGAAGUUUUAACAAUGUGAGUCUUUUUUAGAGUGAAGGUUGUGAGGAUGUACUUAUUCAGCUAAUAUCCCUUGAUAUCGGUGCACUUAUUGCUGGAGCAAAAUUCCUGGGAGAAUUCGAAGAUAUGAUGAAAGCCGUUCUUAACGGGUAUCCUUAAAAGAGCUCAAUAUGUUUUCAAUAUGGUUUAGAACGCAAACCUUCUGAUGUGCAGAAGUAUGUAAAGGUGUUUAUGGAAGUUGACACCGACAGGGAUGGGAAAAUCACUGGGGAGCAGGCACGCAGUCUAUUUUUAAGUUGGAGAUUACCGAUAGUUUCUUUGAUGUUAUUAAGGAGCAGCAGAUCAGUAGGGAUUAAGAGUUUGUGCCUCAUACUUUGAAGUUAUGAAUUAAUAAUGGCAUAGAGUAUUAAUGGAUUGAUAGUUGGAUUCUCACUUCCUGAUAAUCUAAUGGAAUCUCCGGCAAGGUCUGAAAGUGUAUUCUCUCUCAGGUUGCACCGGUGAGGUCCACUAGGAAGAAAAUGACGAAACAGUUGACGGGAAAGCGUGAAGAUACACCUUUACAUUCUGCGGCGAGAAUCAAUGAUAUGGCUUCUUUGAAGGGGACGGUGGAUGGUGCUGAAGAGGGUAAGCUGCGUGAAGUGUUUGUGAAGCAGAAUCAAGGUGGACAAACGACUCUUUAUGUUGCUGCUGAGUAUGGUUAUGUUGAUAUGGUUAGGGAGAUGAUUAAAUAUUAUGAUCUUGCUGAUGCUGGAAUUAAAGCGAGAAAUGGUUAUGAUGCGCUUUAUUUGUACCAUUUCGAGUUCGUCUUCCUCUACGUGCAACUCUGCUACUCUCAAUGAUAGAAUCGGUUUAUGCUAUGUCGUCAAGAAUCGUUUAACUUCUUCUGGCUAUAUGGUUUCAAAAUAAGAGAGCUAGAUGGAAAUCAAAGCAACUUGAGAGAGAGUACAAUAAACUUUAAAAUAUUUACAAUAGUUUGAUAUCAAGAUUUGAAUCAAUGAAGAUGUUGUAUCACAUGAUGACACAAACAAAAAAAGUUGAGUAUUUUGUUUUCCGUACAACAUAGUCAUUACUUUGUAUGAAA